ensembl:snRNA U2 U2 spliceosomal RNA
AUUUCUUCUUGGCCUUUUGGGUGAUAUCAAGUGUAGCAUUUUUUAUAAUCAAUUUAAUAUCUGAUACAUCCUUUAUCCAAGGACAAUAUAGUAAAUGAAAAUUUUUUAAAUUAGGCGAUGAAACAAUAACGUGCUCCUUCCAUUCCACUCAUUGACCUGGUAUCACAGUACCUCCAAGAACAGUGUGCUAAAA